CGAGAAAGGGGACUUCGGCUCCUGAGUUACAGCGGCGAACGGGUGCGUAACACGUGGGUGAUCUAUCUUUAAGAUGGGGAUAACUCAGCGAAAGCUGGGCUAAUACCCAAUAAGACCACGGAAAGCGAUUUCAGGGGUUAAAGGGUGCUUCUUUUAGGAGCAUUUGUUUAAAGAGGAGCCCGCGGCCUAUCAGCUUGUUGGUAGGGUAACGGCCUACCAAGGCAAAGACGGGUAGCUGGUCUGAGAGGAUGACCAGCCACACGGGGACUGAGACACGGCCCCGACUCCUACGGGAGGCAGCAGUGGGGAAUAUUGGGCAAUGGGGGAAACCCUGACCCAGCGACGCCGCGUGGGUGAUGAAGGCCUUCGGGUCGUAAAGCCUUGUCAGGAGGAACGAAUGUUUCUCGGGCAAAUAGCCCGAGAAAGUGACGGUACCUCUGAAGGAAGCACCGGCCAACUCCGUGCCAGCAGCCGCGGUAAGACGGAGGGUGCAAGCGUUGCUCGGAAUCAUUGGGCGUAAAGGGUGCGUAGGCGGCUUCUUAAGUCUGACGUGAAAGCCCAGAGCCUAGCCUUGGAAGUGCGCCAG
rnacentral:rRNA from 1 species